GGAGUACAUAGGCCUCAAAUAAUGUGAGACUACCCCCUAAAUUUAAGCAU
rnacentral:rRNA from 1 species